UCAGCCCGGUGGUCGCUCUCAUGUUUCUCUCUGGUUCGCGUGUAUGAGAAUGGAGUUAUAACGAGGUUAUAUUUUUAAUGUAUAAUAGUUUUAAAAGUUACGAAGUGUGUUUGCCGCGAUAAUCUUGAAGAAAAGCUAUAUAAUUAACAACUAAAUUAAAUAAUAAGGAGAUAAAAGAGAAAGGAAAAGGAGAAGAAAAAAAAAGAGAGAAUGUGUGAAAAGAAAUGAAGAGAAGAUAGAAAAAAUGAAGAUAAAUGAUGAGACGGUAAAAAACCAACAAGAUGAAAAGACAAGAGGAAUAUAUGAGUAAGAGAAUGAAUAAAUAAAAGGGUAGAUAACAAAUAAAUAAAUAAAUUUUUUGUCUGUCGCGAUAAUAAAUAAGUACCCAUACAGUACAAAAUCUCCUGGCGACGUCUCAGAGAUGUCCUAAGGAUGUAGAAACAUCCCAGGACAUCCUCAGGACGUACUCUGGAUAUCUUCUAGACAUCUGUGCUGUUAACGUAUUGCUUUAUAUAAUAUAGGAUAACUUAUAAGGAUAUAGAACUAGGAUUCUUUGUUGUUUGUACUUUUAUUAUUUUUAAACAAGAUAUAAAUAAAGGAAGUAAGAAAGAAAGUACAGAAAGCGGGAAGAAAAAGAGGAAAUAUAAGGAGAGAAGACAGUACACAGAUAUAUGAGGAACAGAAAAUAGAAACGAAGCAAGAAGAUAGAAAAUAGAGAGAUGCAAGAUAGUAAAAUAGGAAAGGUUACUUUUUAAAAAUAAUUUAUUAUUAUUCAUUAUAUUUAUUAUUAUUUAUUAUUAUUACUCGUUAUUCAUCAGAAAAGUACAUUGUUACUGUUACUUGAAUACUAUUACUUUGUGUUGUUUUUAUAGGUAAAUUAAUAAGAAGAUAAAAAAGGAAGGAAAAGAAAAAGAGAAGAAAAGAAAGAGAGCAAGGAGAGAAUGUGCGACAAGAAAUAAAGAGAAGACAGAAAAAAUGAAGAUAAAUGAUAAGACCAUAAGAGAGUAAUAAAACCAUAAGAGAGCAAGAAGGAAAGACAAGAGGAAUAUAUGAGUGUGUAAGAGAAUGAAUAAAUAAAAGGAUAGAUAAUAAAUAAAUAUUUU